rnacentral:ncRNA from 8 species
AUCCUUGAGGUUCAUACAACAUGAUGAUUGGUCUAUCACGACUGUUCGUGAAAUGUGCAGCCCUUUGUUACGACGUGGCACAUUGACCGUCUGAUU